GUAAAGUAUUAAGCUAACGUAUUUUAUAAUAUAUAUAUUUAAUACAUAUCACUUUUCCCUCUGCUUUAUUUAUGUGACAGCUAUAGUAACUUUACGUAUUUAGAUUUUAAGAACAAAACAUAUGAUCAAGUUAUAAAAUAAAAUGCAUUGAACAGUAAUAAUAUUCAAAUUACAUUUUUACAUACAGUUUUUACAUUUAGAUUUGUAUGUGUAACCCAGUAAAGGUCAGUAUGUUGGAACAGGCAUUAAACUCCACAACUCAUUCAGUUAAUUGUCACUUUUAUUCCUAGUGUUUAGUUUGAAAGAUAUUUGAAGAAAAUAGCAGAACCUUCAGCUCCCAUUCAACAGGAGCCUGUUGAGGCUAUCUGAGUCCACACCAGAUCGACUGCUGGGAUUUGAGUUUAAUUGGCAGAGUACUAGCUCUGCACUAGCGGAGUGAACGCCUGCACUCUAACCAUCAACUGGACUCUCCAACUACCGUUUGGUGUCGCCCUAUUCCAGUUCUUCCAAACAUGUUUUCCACCUACUGUCACUAAUUGAUGAAAAAAUGAUCCAUCAUCAGACCACAGUGCAGGAUUGCGCAGCCUGCAGGAUCCAGCACCACACCACGUUCUGCAGCAUCAGGCUGAAAAGUGCUAUUCAAGCUGCUGAUCUCAGGACCAUCUGGGUGAGACAGGCACUCACACCUCCCUCCCCCCACCGCCUGUGACUGACAGACAUAUAUGCGCAAAGUUACAUGCUUUGGUAAGACUGACACCCUGAGCCAAGUAUUCUCAAAAGUAACAUCACUGCAGCUGUGAAUAUCUACAAAAGAUCUACUUUUUAAUUCAGUAUUUUCUGUGAUAAGAGUAUGAAGAUAAACAUAUAGUCUACAUAAGAAAUACCAAGAAAUAUAGACCAAAUGAAUACUGUAGUGAUAUGAUAGAAAUAAAAACAUUACUAGUG